CACAGUAGCUCUCAAUUCCUAUCAAAGACCAAAACAUAAGAAAAUUUAUUAAAUUACUCUCAUCCCUAACAUCUAUUUUCCCAAAAUAAACUCUAUCUCUUUCUCUAUGUUUUUUUUUCAGCAAGCAGUUCCUUUUUUUCUCAAAUUCUCAAAACAGCAAAUCUCAAACACGCUCAUUCCAAAAUCGGCGCCGCCUCUCGCCCCUCCGUCAAGGACCAACCGCUGCCGCUGACUCCAUCGCGCGCCACCGCCUCUGGCCUCCAAUGUUCGCCGCCGCUCCAGGCUGUCAGCUCUUCCGUAGGCAGUGUCUCGUCUCACAACCGGGCAUGAUAAUUCAGAAUUAUCCUAAAUGAAUGCAAGGAAUUCAAGGCUGGAAAUUGAUCGGUGAUUACCUUCUUAGGCGGCAGAAAACUCUCUUCUCCAACUCGGUUCUUUCUCUAAAUUUUAGUUCCCGAUUUUUCUUGGUAUUCAAUUUAUGUGUAGAAAGAUCGUGGGAUUGAUUGGAUAUAUAUAGGCAAAACUGAUAGAUAUU